UAUCGCCUGUUUGGGUGUGUGAGAGUGUCUUGUCUGGGAAAUAGGAGGAGAAAGGACGGGUUGCAGGUAAAAUCUGCAUCGACACAAUUGUUUUUACUCGCAACGACUUUCUGCUGCAGACUUUUUUUGCUGGAAAAGCAAUACUUUUCUGCUCAAUUACAUCCCUGAUCUCGCUCACCCACCAACAUCCAAGGCAAAUUUCAGCAUGUAAUGGAGGGUAAAUCCAAUUGAACACCUUCUAAUUUACAGCCAGUUGACAGCUCAUGUGGGAAAAAAAUCCAACCACAGCUUUGGGUUACACAACACACACCCGCCCGCUGAGCCACAGACAGCGCUAGCCCGGUCCAGCCCAGGCGCUGCAGAACACCCACAACGCUUCCCCACCCCUGGCCUGCCUCUCCCUGCCAGGUGGCCCACACUGAGCCUGGCUCUGAACUAUCUAGAGGAAGAUGAGGAUGACCUCGGAGGAGAGGAACUCUUCGCUUUACAAAGAAUCUAUUUCAUGUAGGAGGAACCACGGUGAUCGUGAAACUUGCGAAAAAAGCCCAAGGCCCUGUCUGGAGCCAGUGUUUG